GACGAACGCUGGCGGCGUGCCUAAUACAUGCAAGUAGAACGCUGAAGCUUGGUGCUUGCACCGAGCGGAUGAGUUGCGAACGGGUGAGUAACGCGUAGGUAACCUGCCUGGUAGCGGGGGAUAACUAUUGGAAACGAUAGCUAAUACCGCAUAAUAGUAGAUGUUGCAUGACAUUUGCUUAAAAGGUGCAAUUGCAUCACUACCAGAUGGACCUGCGUUGUAUUAGCUAGUUGGUGAGGUAACGGCUCACCAAGGCAACGAUACAUAGCCGACCUGAGAGGGUGGUCGGCCACACUGGGACUGGGGAACGGCCCAGACUCCUACGGGAGGCAGCAGGAGGGAAUCUUCGGCAAUGGGCGGAAAUCUGACCGAGCAACGCCGAGGGAGUGAAGAAGGUUGUCGGGUCGGAAAGCUCGGUUGUAAGAGAAGAACGAGUGUGAGAGUGGAAAGUUCACACUGUGACGGUAUCUUAACAGAAAGGGACGGCUAACUACGUG
rnacentral:rRNA from 1 species